UAUGUAGGCGGUUGCGUAAGUUCGGUGUGAAAUCUCCCGGCUUAACUGGGAGGGUGCGCCGAAAACUGCGCGGCUCGAGUGCGGGAGAGGAGAGCGGAAUUCCUGGUGUAGCGGUGAAAUGCGUAGAUAUCAGGAGGAACACCGGCGGUGUAGACGGCUCUCUGGACCGUUACUGACGCUGAGAUACGAAAGCGUGGGUAGCAAACAGGAUUAGAUACCCUGGUAGUCCACGCCCUAAACGAUGCACACUUGGUGUGAGCAGUUCAUUCUGUUCGUGCCGGAGCUAACGCGUUAAGUGUGCCGCCUGGGGAGUACGGUCGCAAGGUUGAA
rnacentral:rRNA from 1 species